rnacentral:rRNA from 1 species
GGGUAACCUGCCCUAUGCUGGAUAAUAACCUCGGGAAACUGAGAAUAAUGAUCCAUAGUUCACUACGCCUGGAACGGUGAGUGGAUGAAAGCUCCGGCGGCAUAGGAUGGGCCUGCGGCGUAUCAGGUUGUAGGGGGUGUAACGUACCCUCUAGCCCUCUACGCGUACGGGUGUUGGGAGACAUAGCCCGGAGAUGGAUUCUGAGACACGAAUCCAGACCCUACGGGGUGCAGCAGGCGCGAAAACUUGGCAAUGCGAGAAAUCGUGACCAGGGAACUCCAAGUGCAUCGGGUAAGACCGGUGCUUUUCUUGACUCUAAAUAGGUCUUGGAAUAAGGGGUGGGUAAGGACGGUGCCAGCCGCCGCGGUAAUACCGGCGCCUCAAGUGGUAGUCGCUUUUAUUGGGCCUAAAACGUCCGUAGCCGGUCUGAUACAUUCGUGGGUAAAUCAACCAGCUCAACUGGUUGAAUUCUGCGAGGACGGUCAGACUUGGGACCGGGAGAGGUGUGGGGUACGCUCAGGGUAGGGGUAAAAUCCUGUCAUCCUGAGCGGACCACCUGUUGCGAAGGCGCCACACUAGAACGGAUCCGACGGUCAGGGACGAAGCCUAGGGGCACGAACCGGAUUAGAUACCCGGGUAGUCCUAGGUGUAAACGCUGUGGACUUGAUGUUGGGGGUGCUCCGAGCACUCUCAGUGUCGAAGCGAAGGUGAUAAGUCCACUGCCUGGGAAGUACGGUCGCAAGGCUGAAACUU